CCUGGUUGGUUCUGCCAGUAGUCAUAUGCUUUGUCUCAAAGAUUAAGCCAUGCAUGUGUAAGUAUGAACAAAUUCAGAUUGUGAAACUGCGAAUGGCUCAUUAAAUCAGUUAUAGUUUGUUUGAUGGUACUACUAUUUGGAUAACCGUAGUAAUUCUAGAGAUAAUACGUGCAACAAACCCUGACUUCUGGAAGGGAUGCAUUUAUUAAAUAAAAGGUCGACGCGGGCUCUGCCUGUUGCUGCGAUGAUUCAUGAUAACUCGACGGAUCGCACGACCAUCGUGCCGGUGACGCAUCAUUCAAAUUUCUGCCCUAUCAAUUUUUGAUGGUAGGAUAGUGGCCUAGCAUGGUGGUGACGGGUGACAGAGAAUUAGGGUUCGAUUCCAGAGAGGGAGCCUGGGAAACGGCUACCACAUCCAAGGAAGGCAACAGGUAUGUAAAUUACCCAAUCCUGACACGGGGAGGUAGUGACAAUAAAUAACAAUACCGGGCUCUAUGAGUCUGGUAAUUGGAAUGAGUACAAUCUAAAUCCCUUAACGAGGAUCCAUUGGAGGGAAAAUCUGGUGCCGGUAGUCGCGGUAAUUUCAGCUCCAAUAGCGUAUAUUUAAGUUGUUGCAGUUAAAAACCUCGUAGUUAGACUUAGGGAUGGGUCGACCGGUCCACCCUAGGUGUGCACCGGUCCACCCUAGGUGUGCACCGAUUGUCUCGUCCCUUCUGUCGGCAAUGCGCUCCUGGCCUUAAUUGGCCUGGUCGUGCUUUCGGUGCUGUUACUUUGAAGAAAUUAGAGUGCUCAAAGAAAGCCUACGCUCUGUAUAAAUUAGCGUGGGAUAGCAUUAUAGGAUUUCGUUUCUAUUAUGUUGGCCUUCGGGAUCAGAGUAAUGCUUAACAGGGACAGUCGGGGGCAUUCGUAUUUCAUAGUCAGUGGUGAAAUUCUUGGAUUUUUGAAAGACGAACAACUGCGAAAGCAUUUGCCAAGUAUGUUUUCAUUAAUCAAGAACGAAAGUUGGGGGCUCAAAGACGAUCAGAUACCGUCCUAGUCUCAACCAUAAACGAUGUUGACGAGGGAUCGGCAAAUGUUGCUUUUAGUACUCCGCCGACACCUUAUGAGAAAUCAAAGUUUUUUGGUUCCGGGGGGAGUAUGGUUGCAAGGUUGAAACUUAAAGGAAUUGACGGAUGGGCUGUAACAACCCGAAAAACUAGUAAGACAAAGCUAGAGCCUAACAGAAACUAGUAAGUGAAACUAGAGCCUAACGCGUUUGUUUUUGAGUUUGGUGGGAGGUUUGGAAGUGUAAAAUGGUUCCCCGAGCCUAGGUUGAGGAGUCUAGGGUUUAAACGUCAAGGUACGACCCCCCAAAGACCAACCAAGGGUCCUUGAGGGGAACCCUAAAGUCUAAACCCCCUUGGCUGCCUAGAACCAAAAUGCUGCCAAAAUUGUGGUGACCUACGGAUGGCAAGGCUGAACUUUCAUAAGCUUUUAGGCGAAACUCAUCAAGCGCAUUCAGGUCAUUGAUCCUUUGAUUAGAUGCAGUGCCCCAAUCCAUAUUUAACUUCUUCAUUGCCCACAUAGCCUUGUGCUCUAGCUCUACUAGUAAAUGACAAGACUUUCCAUAUACAAGUUGGUAAGGAGACAUACCUAUGGGGGUCUUGUAUGCUGUGCGAUAUGCCCAUAG
rnacentral:rRNA from 1 species